UGGGGAAUAUUGGGCAAUGGGCGCAAGCCUGACCCAGCGACGCCGCGUGAGGGAAGAAGGUCUUCGGAUUGUAAACCUCUGUUGACAGGGACGAUAAUGACGGUACCUGUCGAGGAAGCCACGGCUAACUACGUGCCAGCAGCCGCGGUAAUACGUAGGUGGCAAGCGUUAUCCGGAUUUAUUGGGUGUAAAGGGUGUGUAGGCGGAGAGGCAAGUCAGAUGUGAAAAUUAUGGGCUUAACCCAUAAACUGCGUCUGAAACUGUUUCCCUUGAGAGUCGGAGGGGUAAAUAGAAUUCCCGGUGUAGCGGUGAAAUGCGUAGAUAUCGGGAGGAAUACCGGUGGCGAAGGCGAUUUACUGGACGACAACUGACGCUGAGACACGAAAGCGUGGGGAGCAAACAGG
rnacentral:rRNA from 1 species